CACAGCUUGUCUGUAAGGAUUGAAGCUGGGAGUGGGCAUUGGAGCUGACUUUUAUGAUAACUGUGGCUGCAUAAAAUGGUUGUGUGAUAUAACUGCAACAGUAAAGAAUGUAAUUCAGACUAUUUUUGUGUAUGCUUGAGAAAAUGUUUAUAAUUUUUUUACAAAAAAAAAAAAAAAAAUAUGUAAA